GAUGAACGCUGGCGGCGUGCCUAACACAUGCAAGUCGAACGAACCUAAUCUUCGGAAAGGGUUAGUGGCGCACGGGUGAGUAACACGUAGGUGACCUGCCCCGAAGUGGGGGAUAACUUCUCGAAAGAGAAGCUAAUACCGCAUAUGCUCAGCCAUUCAGUUGGUUGAGUAAAGCUCCGGCGCUUCGGGAGGGGCCUGCGUCCGAUUAGCUAGUUGGUGGGGUAAUGGCCUACCAAGGCAAUGAUCGGUAGCUGGUCUGAGAGGACGAUCAGCCACACUGGCACUGACACACGGGCCAGACUCCUACGGGAGGCAGCAGUGAGGAAUAUUGGUCAAUGGGCGAAAGCCUGAACCAGCAACGCCGCGUGAGGGAUGAAGGCCUUCGGGUCGUAACCUCUUUCUGGUAGAAGAGACAAGGACGGUAUCCCAGGAAUAAGUCUCGGCUAACUACGUG
rnacentral:rRNA from 1 species